UUUAGGAACAUCUAUUCUAAUUUGGGGUAUACUUUCGAACUCUAAAACCUUCUUCCCGUCUUCAUAAAAAUUUCUCCCAAACCCUACCCUGCAUCACAAUCUUCUCCUGCUAGGCUUUGUAUUCGUCUUCUUUGGCUUGACUUUGUGUUCGUCUUCUCUUCUUGUUUGGUUUCGUGUUUGUCUUCUCCUGCGAGGUGGAGCAUUGAGGUGGAGGCGUCGAGGUGGAGGCAUCGAGGUGGAGGCGUCAAGGCAUUUGUGGGUUGAGCGAGUUCAAGGUACUCUGACGUGCUCCCGCACUGACCGUCAAGGAGGAGUGCUUGCUGAGGUUACAGAGUCGCAUUGACAUUCCAUACGAUAGUUCUAUUCCUGAGCACCAGUGGUUAGCAGGAAAACCCAAAAGAAGAAAUUAAAAGCACAGUAGAGAUAGCAGUGGUGUAACUUAUGUUGGGAGAUCAAUUUCAUUCUUUUUAGGAGUCCUAUUAGCUGAGUUACAAGAUUUGGAGACUGUUCUGCUGAAAAAUUCUCAAGCGGUAAUACAAAAAAUUCUGACUUUGUCCUCAUUUUUGAAAAAUGUUCUUGUAAAUUACUUGUAUUUCUUUUUGUUAUGUAUUAUUCUGCUCAUAUGUCCCUAGGUUGAGUGUGUUGUAACUUCCUAUCAUGUAAUUUCACUCAAAUAUUCUCCUAAAA